rnacentral:lncRNA from 1 species
UGGAGCUCAGAGCUUGCUUUGCCUGCAGUGGAAGCUCUGGUUUAAUUAAGGAUCUUAGGAGAGAAUUCUCUCUUGUUAUUUUCUGAAUAAAUUAAGGAAGUAACUUUGAUGCAAUAUCAUUUUCAUCUAAUCAGGAACAUUCUGAAAUUACCAUAUUGUUUUCCAUUAGAAACCCCAUCAGCCCCCAAAUCAGAUAACCAGGCUGGAGGCUGCCAGGGCCCCUGUGUCCUGGGGCGGGUGCGUGCUGUGCUGUGAGGACACAAAGGGACUCUCUCCUUCUGCCAUGAUCCCUUGUUAUGUUUAGGAGAUUGCUUGUGACCUUAGCAGGGCCCUUGGGCCUUGGCCAGGGCUGGGGAGGGGUCCCCCAGGCAAAGGGCAAAGGAGGGGCCCGGGAGGCCUGCAGAGCAGAUUGGGAUGGAUCAGAACCUUGCCGUCUGGGAGCUUCUUGACAGUUCAGCUGGGAAGAAGAGGUCAAGCUGCUUAUCUUGAGCCCCCAGUCCCACCCCUGCCUAGGCAGCCUCACAGGAAACAGGAAGGAGCUCAUCAGGUCCAAGACCACAGCCAGGGACAAAGGAAGGUGACCCGAGAUCCAGGAUCUGAGGAAAGGCUGAAGGCUGCUCAUGUGAGGUGCAGCCAGAGGCUGCUGAGAAUGUGCAAAAUCUUCUACAAAGUUCAUUUCCUCAAUCUCUGAAGCUCCCUGAAGCCUUGAGCUGAGGGGUGUCAAGACUGCAACAAGGUGGGGGCCAUGGAGGGGAAAAUGAGAGCAUCCCAGAGCCAGAGUGCCCUCAGAGAAACGUGCCCUCAGAGUGCCCUCAGAGACCACUCUCCAAGGUCUCCUCCUGGAGGGCACCUUCCAGCCCUCAUAGCAGGGGUGGGCACUGUGGCCAGCUGGAGCAGGAGUCCGGGACAGGACCCGAGCCGAGGCCAUCUGAGGCUGUGCAUCACACACAUGCAUCUCUCUACACACUGAGACAGACCCAAGUGCAUGCCUAAGAAAACCUCUCAAGAAGCCAAGACCUUAACCAGAACCCAGCAGGCACAACCUCCACCAACUCAUAUGGGUUCCACCUGGCUCUGCUCCUCCCGGUGCCAAAGCAGGAGCGUAAGCUGCCAGAGAGGGGUCCGAGACUCUCCGCAACACUCCCGCCACUGUCCCAGAACCAAGAGGACACAACUAGGCCACCAGGUGUUGUCAUCCAGCCAGAGCAGAGUGAAGAAGGAAAAGGAGGGGGUAGAGGAGAACGGCAAGGAGGAGGGUGGCUGCCACAUGGUGGAGAAAAGUGUCCCACCUUACCACGUGUGAAUCUCUGGGUUCAUCCAGAAUCAGAAGUUACCAAGAAGUGUUUUAAGCCCUCAGGUUCCUGGGGCGGAGAUGCAGGCAAAAGACUACUGAUACUACAGUCUGGCCCCAGCCAAGACAGAGGCUGCAGCUGAGCCUCUACCUGCC